GUGGAGUCUCUGUGCCUUACGAGAUUAGCCCUUCCGCUGACUGUGCUAAGGUGCAUUGAUGGACCGAAACUGGGGAAUCGAACUUGAGACUUGGGAUUGAUUAGAAAAAGAGUUGGGUCAUCAGAUGUUGAGUUUGUUUGGUUUAAGAAAGUUUGAUGCCAGUUGUAGCCGUUUGUUCUCUGGCUUGUUUUCUCAUGGAUGAUAUUAUUGUUGAUCGUUUCUUUCUGUUGACAAAUUUA